GACGAACGCUGGCGGCGUGCUUAACACAUGCAAGUCGAACGGAAAGGCCCCGCUUUUGUGGGGUGCUCGAGUGGCGAACGGGUGAGUAACACGUGAGUAACCUGCCCUGGACUUUGGGAUAACUUCAGGAAACUGGGGCUAAUACCGGAUAGGAGCUCCUGCUGCAUGGUGGGGGGUGGAAAGUUUCGGCGGUUGGGGAUGGACUCGCGGCUUAUCAGCUUGUUGGUGGGGUAGUGGCUUACCAAGGCUUUGACGGGUAGCCGGCCUGAGAGGGUGAACGGCCACAUUGGGACUGAGAUACGGCCCAGACUCCUACGGGAGGCAGCAGUGGGGAAUAUUGCACAAUGGGCGGAAGCCUGAUGCAGCGACGCCGCGUGCGGGAUGACGGCCUUCGGGUUGUAAACCGCUUUCGCCUGUGACGAAGCGUGAGUGACGGUAGUGGGUGAAGAAGCACCGGCUAACUACGUG
rnacentral:rRNA from 1 species